rnacentral:misc_RNA from 1 species
UACUACUAUUUCUCCAUGUUGUUCUCAGUUCUCUCGCUUUCUCGUGUGGAAAAGCUGGAAAUUAUUUUGGUAGUGUAAACAGUGUAAAGACUUUUGCCAGUAGUGGUUAAAACCCUUUGCUUGGCCUCUUCAAGUACAGUUUUUCUUCGCGAGGAAGAUGGUAAAGAGGAAGGACAGGACAGCGCGCAGACAGAUUUUGCAGUUAAAGGAAGAGAAAAGCCGGACGUAUUCCCCGCCGGCUAAGAAUUCGGCGAUUGGUCCUGCGGAGCCAUCAAGUCACGGAGAUAACGACGAAGGAGACGGACAUGACGAAGCAAGCAAAAACGAGCCAGCCUCGAAUAACGGCGUUCCGAGAGAUGCCAUAGACGAUCAGCUUGAAGACUUCAUGAAGGAAAUUGAUGCCAUCUCGUCAACUGUGCCUGAGACGGAUCCCCAAGGUGAGGAGGAUAAAAAGGAAUCGCCUGAUCAAGAGAACGUGAUGGCCACCUCGGACGGUCCUCCAGCUUCUGGGAAAUCUGAGGCAGUAAUUGGCACCCAGGAGCCAAAGUCAAAAGGAAACACUGCAGAUACACCUUCGGCUAUUGAAGGCGAGGUUCCGCCUUGUCCCUGGGUAGAGUGCAUGGAUGUGGCAACGGGGUACACCUACUUCUGGCACCAGGUAACCAACGAGGUAACGUGGGACUGCCCACCUGAGUAUGAAGCUUACUGGGCCCAAUAUGGAGAAGCUGUUGAGGCUGAGGGUGGUGCAGCGGGAGCUGGUGCUGAUGCUGCUUCUUCUGCGACAACGCCUGGCACGAGUGGUGAUGCACAGAUGCUUCCCGAAACCAGUGCCUCAGCACCUCCGAUUGCUGCGGCCGUGCCUAACAGCAGUGUCUCAUCGAAUGUUCAAGCUGCCGAUGCCUGCAGCGCCGAAGGUGGAACGCAGAAACUUGCCGAAUCGUCUUCAACUGGUGCACCAACUGCUAGUGUGGCACAAAGCGACGCGACUGUUGAAACGCCCGAAGCGAGUAAAAGGGCAGCGACGUCUGGCAAGAAGAAGCGCAAGCAAGAAGCUGCCAUUGGAGCAAUCAUUCCAAUAACUUCGUACGGUGCAUCCGACAGCAGCUCUUCCGAGGGUAGCGACUAUGAGACUUAUUCAGUCUGUAGGACACGACUGAAGAGGCAUCCUUCCAAGCGUCCGAAGGUAGCAGCUAAGAAGUCUCGUAUGGAGUCACCACCGCCUGUCACUUAUGGACCACAGCUGCCAGACUCGGUCCUCGCUCAAAGAGAAGAACCUGUUUACGGUCCGCAGCUUCCAGAUGCUCCCGAAUCCAUGGAAGUAACAGUCUACGGCCCACACCUGCCAGAAGUGAAUACGGUUGAAUACGGGCCUAACUUGCCAGAGGAGGAGAGAGCUGUGCAUGGGCCACACUUGCCAGAGCCCGAGAAGAAAGUUGCAUACGGGCCACACUUGCCAGAUGCUAGUGACGUCGAAUCUCAUCAGCCCCCCGUUUUAAUUGGUCCACAGCUGCCGGAGUUCCACGAGUUCGCGACCGAAAAGUCCAGUACUAGUGCAUUUAUUGGCCCAGUGCUUCCGGACGGAUUCUUUGAAAAACAGGCAGAGCGUUGUGAAGAAGAUAAUCCCGAAGUUCAAGAACCCUGUCCAAGGUUGGAAGACUCACCCUCUGGAAGCACAGAAUCGGCCAGACCUGUUGCUACAACUGAGGCAUCCAGUGCCGAAGGAUUGCAAGCCAGCGAAACUGUGCUGGAAAGCACGCAUUCUUCCGCGGUCGCCGUAGAGGCUGCUAGUGUUCCUGAUGAAACAACAGUUGGUGCGGUGCCAGCAUUGUCUGGCCUGGUGGAUUACCCUGGCUCUCCUGUUGUUGACAGUGAAACAGACAGCGAGGGGAGUGAUGUGGACAAUAAAGGAGUGUCAGUGCCAGCCCCGGACAUUGAGAAGGAGCCAGCUGCUGUGAAUUAUCCUGUCAUGACUGGUGGAAAGCUCCAGUUUGAGACAGCUGUAAAGGAUGUGCAUAAGAAAGUUGUGUCGCAAGAUGCUAGUCAAAGCACUUCCAACGUUCGUGCCAGCUCCCUGACUGCAGCAAGACAGUUGAAGUCAAAACAGAAUCUGGAGGCAAAGAAAGGAUCACAGCACCUGGUUUCUUACGGUGACUCGGAAAGCAGUGAUGAUGACAGCAUGGACGCGAAUGUAACUGUUGUGGAGCCUUCGCUUCCCUCAGCAGCUCGAUCACCCCCCUCUUCAGCGGUUGGCGAGGAUGACAGGGAGGAGAGCCACAGGGGCUUUGGGUGCUCCAACAGCGAUGGUGUGGACGCGGAAGUUACCGAUGAUAAGAAGGCUCCAUCGGCAAAGCCAUUCAAGGGAGUCAGCUUCGUCCGAUCGUCAGAGUUGCUUGUGUUGAGUGAGUGUGUAAAUCAGGGUGAGGGAGUAGCUAAAGAGAAGACUGAAGAGACUGCAAAAGAACAGUCGCCCAGUUCCGAGGAAACUACUGGUGCCGAAAGGUUGGCUUCCCCUCAAGAACAGACAGCACCGGACGAUUCCGAUGUGGAUGAUUUUGACGAUGUCGUCCGGGCCCUCGACAUUGCUUUGUUAGAGUCGCAAAAGAAGAAGGCCCAGGAAGCAGGCACAAAGCACCAAGACUUUCCCAGUGCUGAGAAAGAAUCGCCCGGCGAUACAAGUGAGGAGGAAGGAGAAAUCAAGUCGUCCGACUCAUCCAGUGAGGAAGGAAUGACACCAAUGCCGCAGGGGAGUUCAGACUCUGAGGAUGAAUCAGAGACAGAAGAGGAUGCCAGACUAAAGAAGGAGAAUCAGUUCAGUAAAAGAGGAACAUCUCCCAAGCCUGAGAGUAAGGAUACACUUAAGGUUGAUAUUGAAGAAGCUUACAAGCAGCUGACAGAUCUGUUGAAUCCUCUGCGGGAUGUGAUCGCCUGUAGGAACAGCUACUUUGAACUCGUUGUGAAGACCAUGACUCGUAUGGAGGACUGGCGUGCUGGAGCUCUGGACCCUGCUUACUUCCUUCAGAGGUUGCACGAAGCGCAUGCCGCCGCUGACGAGGUUCGGCAACUGGUCCAGGCGUCUGAGCCAACAAAGAGCGACGAAUCUUGCCAAGAACCCUUGCCGCCCGGCUGGCAGAGGCACUGGGACAGGAGCCUUUACGAAGCCUGGUCUUCUUGGCUUGGGGCGGGAAGGCUGGCUUGGUGGGAGGCGGCUGCUGCUGUGUUUCGUUUCUUUUCUUCUUUUCCUCACGAGCCCAAGAAGCCAUCCCCUCCCUCGAUUUUCUUUCCGGGGGCUGCUCCCGCCUUUCCUGCGCCACACUGUGAAGGACCCGCGUCCCUCACGGCACCCCAGCCCCCACCCUCAUUGAUCCUUUCCUUGCCACGUCUUGCCUUUUUUUAUCUGACGUACCGUUCGUCAACCACUGUCGCUGCGGUAUAUUGUAACCAGUGAACAAGUUGCUGGACUUUCUGGGACCGCUGCUGGAGCUGCCGUGGCCAAACUGGGACGACGUAGGCUGACAUGCCUUGGCUGAUCCGAUAUUGCUGUUGUGUCCCCUGUCCAGCCAGCAAGAGACCCUCUACAGGACAGGAGCAACACCAAGCCUGUAGACAGCGCUCAUUUCCUUGGAGCUGAGUGGCAGUGGUUUGCCAGUGGACUGCCUCGAAUAGCACGUCCAUUAAGUUGUGAUCUGAUGUGUGCACCUGUUGUGGGAGUAACGCCGUUAUCACGGAUGAAGAUCGCUUUGUGUGAGAAUUCUGUGCGGCACAGGGGUGUCGUCAGGCGGCGGACGCUACAUUGUCGUUUCCUGCUGCCACAUUACUUAGAAACAUCACGACAUACCACUGCAUCAUAGGACUGGGUCUUGUGCAGCAUACACCUGCCAUCUCUUUCUAGAAGCGCUGGGAUGUCAUCGUUAUAGGCUUUAGGUAUAAACACCAUUGCAUCUUGGGUAGAAACAAUAAGCCGUCGGAUCUAAGGUAUCAUUGCACAUUGAGUGUGCAACUGUAUGUUUUGCAUGGCAGGUAAACUUCUAAGAGCUGUCUUGUUAUACCGUUGAGCCUCGUUUUUGUUGGGAAAUUUCGGGGACUUUGUUAA